ACAUAGAUUUAAAUUUUACAUGGUGGGUCAUGCCUUUAAGCACUCUACAUUGUGAGUUUCAGGACAGAGAGCUCUUGUCUCCAUCAAAAAACAGAUUUAAGUAUUCUUUAAGGAAGUUCUUUUGUGGGCAAAGAAGAGGGUGGAAAUGGCAAUAGUAUUGCAAUAUGUUGGUUGCAUGGUAGGUUCACAUAUCAGAGGUUUUGUGUUUGCUUACUUUUUUGAGGGUCUUACUAAGGUCUAACUAACGCACUAGUUGACCUCAAACUGGCUUGCCUUGCCUCAGCCUUCCAAAUGCUGAAAUACAGAACUAUACCACUGUGCCUCGCUCACACACCAGGUUUGCUGCUGUUGUUGUUAGGUAUUAUUUUACUAUGUGAGCUUGUGCAUCAGAAAGUGUCAGAUCCCCUUGAACAGAUAGUUGUAAACUUCCAUGUGGGUGCUGGAAAUAGAACUUGGGUUAUUUGGAAGAGCAACAAAUACUUUCAAUUGCUGAAUUAUCUCUCCACCAUACAAUUUGUCAGUUUUGUUAAUUGUUUUGUUUUGUUUAUUGUGAUGCUUCACUCAUACACAAUGCAUGUGUAUUUUUGUUGUAUAAGUUAGAAAUUCUAGAACUUGAGUCUUCCUUGGUGGCUCAUGCCUGUAAUGGCCACAACUUAGGAGGCUAAAGCAAAAGAAAUCGUGGGUUCAAACUUUUUUUGGGCUAUUACACAUAGCAAGUCCCUGUUUCUGAGAGAGACAGACUGACAGAAACAGUCGGAUGGGAAGCAAAGGAAAGGAAAAAAAAA
rnacentral:lncRNA from 1 species